AUUGAACGCUGGCGGCAUGCUUUACACAUGCAAGUCGAACGGCAGCGGGGUAGUGCUUGCACUACUGCCGGCGAGUGGCGAACGGGUGAGUAAUAUAUCGGAACGUACCGAGUAAUGGGGGAUAACCAAUCGAAAGAUUGGCUAAUACCGCAUACGUCCUGAGGGAGAAAGCGGGGGAUCGCAAGACCUCGCGUUAUUCGAGCGGCCGAUAACUGAUUAGCUAGUUGGUGGGGUAAAGGCCUACCAAGGCGACGAUCAGUAGCGGGUCUGAGAGGACGAUCGGCCACACUGGGACUGGGACACGGCCCAGACUCCUACGGGAGGCAGCAGUGGGGAAUUUUGGACAAUGGGGGCAACCCUGGUCCAACCAUGCCGCGUGUAUUAAGAAGGCCUUCGGGUUGUAAAGUACUUUUGUUAGGGAAGAAAAGGGAAGUGCUAAUACCACUUUUUGCUGACGGUACCUAAAGAAUAAGCACCGGCUAACUACGUG
rnacentral:rRNA from 1 species